rnacentral:rRNA from 1 species
GACGAACGCUGGCGGCGUGCUUAACACAUGCAAGUCGAACGGGCCCGCCCCUGUUUUUGGGGGUGGGUUGAGUGGCGAACGGGUGAGUAUCACGUGAGUAACCUGCCCCCUGCUCCUGGAUAACUGCUUGAAAGGGCGGCUAAUACGGGGUGUGCCGGCUGGUCCGCAUGGGCCUGGUCGGGAUAGUUUCAUCUUCGGGUGUUUCGGUGGGGGAUGGGCUCGCGGCCUAUCAGCUUGUUGGUGGGGUGAUGGCCCACCAAGGCGGUGACGGGUAGCCGGCCUGAGAGGGUGGGCGGCCAGACUGGGACUGAGACACGGCCCAGACUCCUGCGGGAGGCAGCAGUGGGGGGUAUUGCACAAUGGGCGGAAGCCUGAUGCAGCGACGUCGCGUGAGGGAUGGAGGCCUUCGGGUUGCGAACCUCUUUCUCCGGUGGUGAAGGCCCUGUCCGUUGCGGCGGGGUUGACGGUAGCCGGGUAUGAAGCGCCGGCUAACUACGUG